rnacentral:rRNA from 1 species
CAAUAGCGUAUUUUAAAGUUGUUGCGGUUAAAACGUUCGUAGUCGUAUUUCUGCUUCGGGUGUUUCCUUUCCAAAGGGGACAUUCGAGCAUUAGUGUGGGCGGUUUUCGUCACUUAACUGUGCCGAUGCAUAAACCCGCACUGAUUAUUUUGAGGAAAUUAGAGUGUUUAAAACAAGCAUGGUAUGAAUAUAAUAGCAUGGGACAAUGUGAAACGGGGACGAGAUUAGCGUGGCUUUUGGUCUCGGCCCAAUUUUCUAAAAGGAAGGCAUUUGGGGGUUAGUUCGUAUUGUAGCUGCUAGAGGUGGAAAUUACUUUGGAUUUUUUUAAGUUUAACGAA